UUCAUGGCCCUGGAGUCCAACAUACUCUAUUUAUCCACAGAACAGGUACAAUUCAGCCAAUGACAAUCUAAGCUUCUCCAUGCUGCCCUGGCCAGGUGCCUCAAGCAUGUCAUGACGAGACUCUUCUGUAGGUGCAAAGGGGGUGUAUGAGAAUUUAGACUCCUUGCCAUUCAACCUUUAGUCUUU
ensembl:misc_RNA